rnacentral:rRNA from 1 species
UACAGAGGUCUCAAGCGUUGUUCGGAAUUAUUGGGCGUAAAGGGUGCGUAGGCGGCGGGGUAAGUUAGAUGUGAAAUACCGGUGCUUAACAUCGGAAUUGCAUUUAAGACUGCCUUGCUUGAGCAUUAGAGAGGAGACUGGAAUUUACGGUGUAGCAGUGAAAUGCGUAGAUAUCGUAAGGAAGACCAGUGGCGAAAGCGAGUCUCUGGCUAAAUGCUGACGCUGAGGCACGAAAGCUGGGGGAGCAAACGGG